UAAACGACGUGCGGCACAAGGUACUAGUAUCAGAUCAAUUGGGAGUAAGGGUCGAGGCCGUGGCCGAGGAUCGAGGGGAGGCAGGGUCAAAGGAAAGGGAGGUCUGGGUGACAAUUCCAAUCACACUAGUGAUCAUGACAGGGAGUGCCCCCCUCAAGUGAGAGGAUCUGGGAAAGAUAGAGUUUUGCUGGGAGAUAUAGAAGUUAUUGGUACGGGGGAUUUAACCCACCCUCGGGGUUGUGGCGGCUGGCCGAAAACAGCUGCAGGGGAUCAAUGUUAAACCUAUCUUGGAACUGUCAAGGAUUGGGGAAAACCUUGACGGUCCAAACUCUCAGGGAGCUAACUCACUCCCAUAGGUUUGAUUUUGUUUUUCUGUCGGAAACCCAUAAAGAUUGCUCCUAUGUUAAUCUGAUUCGCGAU